CCUGGCCACAACCACAAAUCAACAGGCGCACCAUGGGUGAUCUGAAUGAAGCUGACAGACCACUGAUGGUCCAUAGACCAACAGAUUGGGUAGCCCUGCACUGUACCAUUGCGAAUUCAUAUGAAACAUUAACAUUCCUGUAUAAAUACUUACAAUCUACACACACACACUUCCCAUAACAGCUACAACAAGACUUGGCAUCACGGUAGCAGCAGAUUCUGCCUUGCAGAAGAGUUGUCCCACUAAUACACCCUGUUACCGUAUUUUUCGCUCUAUAAGACGCACCAGACCACAAGACGCACCUAAUUUUUGGAGGAGGAAAACAAGAAAAAAAUAUUCUGAAUCUCAGAAGCCAGAACAGCAAGAGGGAUCGCUGCGCAGUGAAAGCAGCAAUCCCUCUUGCUGUUCUGGCUUUUGGGAUAGCUGUGCAGCCUGCAUUCGCUCCAUAAGACGCACACACAUUUCCCCUUACUUUUUAGGAGGGAAAGAGUGAGUCUUAUAGAGCAAAAAAUACGGUAAGUUCUUCUGGAACCCGAGUGUUAGGUCUUAAAAGUUGGGCUCUGGGUGCAACAGCUAUUUGUAAGAAAUCUCCCUGAAUCCAUCACCUUCAUAAAAGUCUUCAGCGCCAAGGGCCUUCUGGCAGUUCCCUCCCUGUGAGAAGUGAGGUUACAGGGAACCAGGCAAAGGGCCUUCUCGGUAGUGGCGCCCGCCCUGUGGAAC